rnacentral:ribozyme from 14 species
AGCAUCUUCCUUGACAUCUGUUUUUCCAUUUCUUUCCUUUUUUGCACCAUGCUUGCUGCUAAUUCAUAUUUGCCAAAAAUGUAUGCCUCGAUACUGCUCAAGGAAUAUACAUAAGAUGCCACCACAACAUUAUUGUUUUC